rnacentral:rRNA from 1 species
UAGGGAAUCUUCCGCAAUGGACGAAAGUCUGACGGAGCGACGCCGCGUGAGCGAAGAAGGUCUUCGGAUCGUAAAGCUCUGUUGUUAGGGAAGAAGAAGUUCCGUUCGAACAGGGCGGCGCGGUGACGGUACCUAACGAGAAAGCCCCGGCUAACUACGUGCCAGCAGCCGCGGUAAUACGUAGGGGGCGAGCGUUGUCCGGAAUUAUUGGGCGUAAAGCGCGCGCAGGCGGUCCCUUAAGUCUGAUGUGAAAGCCCACGGCUUAACCGUGGAGGGUCAUUGGAAACUGGGGGACUUGAGUGCAGAAGAGGAGAGCGGAAUUCCACGUGUAGCGGUGAAAUGCGUAGAGAUGUGGAGGAACACCAGUGGCGAAGGCGGCUCUCUGGUCUGUAACUGACGCUGAGGCGCGAAAGCGUGGGGAGCAAACAGG